rnacentral:rRNA from 1 species
AACGAACGCUGGCGGCAUGCCUAACACAUGCAAGUCGAACGAGACCUUCGGGUCUAGUGGCGCACGGGUGCGUAACGCGUGGGAACCUGCCCUUAGGUUCGGAAUAACUCCCCGAAAGGGGUGCUAAUACCGGAUAAUGUCUUCGGACCAAAGAUUUAUCGCCUUUGGAUGGGCCCGCGUUGGAUUAGCUAGUUGGUAGGGUAAAAGCCUACCAAGGCGACGAUCCAUAGCUGGGCUGAGAGGAUGAUCAGCCACACUGGGACUGAGACACGGCCCAGACUCCUACGGGAGGCAGCAGUGGGGAAUAUUGGACAAGGGGCGAAAGCCUGAUCCAGCAAUGCCGCGUGAGUGAUGAAGGGCUUAGGGUUGUAAAGCUCUUUUACCCGGGAUGAUAAUGACAGUACCGGGAGAAUAAGCUCCGGCUAACUCCGUG